GUCACCAGCUUUCUAGUCACCACCGAUCCAUGUUUCAUUUUCGUUUUGUUUUGUCUGUAUUACACACACCUGAUUUAAAUUCCCACAUCAUGUUCCUUAUUUUACCCUCUGGCUUACCUUUCUGUUCUGUCCGUGAUUGUUGGUGUCUUAGUGAUUGUUGUAGGUGUUAGUUUUGUAUUUUCCUUAUUGGAAUAUUGCUUGUUUGUUUUAUUGAGUAAACUCGGUUGUUUUACUCUAAAGUGUGUCCUGCGCCUGACUCCGCUACAUCUCUGCACCCAAUCGCUGACAAUGUGAAAGUAAUAUUUUUGCUUUUGGAUAUUCUAAAACGGGUGGACAUCGUAUUUUCAGCCCCCCACAACAAGGAUACCUGAAGCAUUAUGGACUCUAACUAUGAACGACUUCGACUCCUCCCCGGCGUAUACCGGCACAGAAGGCCCUACACAUCGAGAGGGCGUGUUCGAGGUGGAAUUCGGCGCCCAGGACAUACCCAGUAAAACACUGAAACCGGAUGAUUUCAAAGCUUUAAAGUACAAUUCUGAGGUAGACGAUUUGUUGCUGAAUGAAGCGGCCAGACAGCUUGAUACAGCCAAUUUUGAGGAAUAAACAAUAAUCAAUCAGGAUAUUUUAAAACUGGAGGACACCGAAUUUUCCGAUAUGUCUCUAUGUCAAUUGUAUGUAUUUUGUAUGAUAAAAUGUAUAAAUAUAGUUUAAUAUUAUUGUAGAAAAGGCCCAUGGAGUUGGUGGAAUCGUCCUUGACUUCAUGGCCACUUACUCAGCUGGACCAGGGGGCGCUUUAAUUAGGUCGGGUGGAAAUGUCCGACAGAUCUCAACCCCAAUAAAAGGAGGGAAUCGCCAACUACCGAUCUCGCUGCUUUCUCUUCCUUAACUCUGUCUAAUCCAGAAGUUCUGUGCGUCCAUGAAUCCAAGGAAAUCCACCGAAUCUGUUACAUUUCAGCGGAACUAUCUGUUGCGAUCGGGAGAGUGGGCCAUCAGUUAUUGUUUAUAGUUAUUACCGCGGAGUGCGGCUUGGAGCGCACGCUUCAAAUCUAUUGUGUAAUGUGAAUGGUCAAUGAUCACGGCCCUACGGAUCAUCACAGGCCAAUUAGGCCAACGAUAUAUGGUUAAUAUGUUAUGAAAUUACAUGUACACAUGAAGACACUUGAAAGGGUGAAAUAUGAAACGUCAUUGUUUGCUUAACUGAUCGAUUCUGAUAUCAAACUAAUGGGGAUUAUAGAUUGAAUAACCGAUCACUGUAUGUAUUAUUCUUCUAAUGAUUAUGAUAAAUAGUUUCGAGCAUAAAUGACUCAAGGAUGAUUCCUAUUGACUUCUUAAUGAACUGGAUUGUUGAAUUCCCUUAUUAUGGUAAUAAUGAAUGAUUGUUAUGAUUUGAUAUUUUUGAAUUUGAUAGGAUAUAUCUUAUGAAUUUGAUUGGAUACAUGUUAUGAAUUUGAUAGGAUACAUGUUUUGAAUUUGAUUGGAUACCUGUUAUUCUGUUUCCUUUGUUAUGCAGCACAGACUACUCAGUAAAUAUACCACUUUAUGGUUAAAGGAAUUCCUGC